GCUGGGUGUGGUGGCACUCACCUGUAAUCCCAGGGGCUCAGGAGGCUGAGGCAAGAGGAUCACGAGUUCAAAGCCAGCCUCAGCAAAAGCGAGGCACUAAGCCACUCAGUGAGACCCUGUCUCUA
rnacentral:sRNA from 1 species